CACAGUGAAAUGCUGAAUACAACAGGUGUAGUAGACCUCACAGUGAAAUGCUGAAUACAACAGGUGUAGUAGACCUUACAGUGAAAUGCUGAAUACAACAGGUGUAGUAGACCUUACAGUGGAAUGAUGAAUACAACAGGUGUAGUAGACCUCACAGUGAAAUGCUGAAUACAACAGGUGUAGUAGACCUUACAGUGAAAUGCUGAAUACAACAGGUGUAGAACCUUAGAGUGAAAUGCUGAAUACAACAGGUGUAGUAGACCUUACAGUGAAAUGCCGAAUACAACAGGUGUAGUAGACCUCACAGUGAAAUGCUGAAUACAACAGGUGUAGUAGACCUUACAGUGAAAUGCUGAAUACAACAGGUGUAGUAGACCUUACAGUGAAAUGCUGAAUACAACAGGUGUAGUAGACCUCACAGUGAAAUGCUGAAUACAACAGGUGUAGUAGACCUUACAGUGAAAUGCUGAAUACAACAGGUGUAGAACCUUACAGUGAAAUGCUGAAUACAACAGGUGUAGUAGACCUUACAGUGAAAUGCUGAAUACAACAGGUGUAGUAGACCUCACAGUGAAAUGCUGAAUACAACAGGUGUAGUAGACCUUAGAGUGAAAUGCUGAAUACAACAGGUGUAGUAGACCUUACAGUGAAAUGCUGAAUACAACAGGUGUAGUAGACCUUACAGUGAAAUGCUGAAUACAACAGGUGUAGAACCUUACCGUGAAAUGCUGAAUACAACAGGUGUAGUAGACCUUACAGUGGAAUGAUGAAUACAACAGGUGUAGUAGACCUUACAGUGAAAUGCUGAAUACAACAGCUGUAGAACUUACAGUGAAAUGCUGAAUACAACAGGUGUAGUAGACCUUACAGUGAAAUGCUGAAUACAACAGCUGUAGAACUUACAGUGAAAUGCUGAAUACAACAGGUGUAGUAGACCUUACAGUGAAAUGCUGAAUACAACAGCUGUAGAACUUACAGUGAAAUGCUGAAUACAACAGGUGUAGUAGACCUUACAGUGAAAUGCUGAAUACAACAGGUGUAGUAGACCUUACAGUGAAAUGCUGAAUACAACAGGUGUAGUAGACCUGACAGUGAAAUGCUGAAUACAACAGGUGUAGUAGACCUCACAGUGAAAUGCUGAAUACAACAGGUGUAGUAGACCUCACAGUGAAAUGCUGAAUACAACAGGUGUAGUAGACCUCACAGUGAAAUGCUGAAUACAACAGGUGUAGUAGACCUCACAGUGAAAUGCUGAAUACAACAGGUGUAGAACCUUACAGUGAAAUGCUGAAUACAACAGGUGUAUAACCUUACAGUGAAAUGCUGAAUACAACAGGUGUAGUAGACCUCACAGUGAAAUGCUGAAUACAACAGGUGUAGUAGACCUCACAGUGAAAUGCUGAAUACAACAGGUGUAGUAGACCUUACAGUGAAAUGCUGAAUACAACAGGUGUAGAACUUACAAGCACUUAACCAACAAUGCAGAAAAUACCACAAAAGUAAGAGAUAAGAAUAACACAUUAAAGAUCAGCAGUAAAUAACAAUAGUGGGGCAAUAUACAGGGUAUUACGGUACAGAGACAAUGUGGAGGCUAUAUACAGGGUAUUACGGUACAGAGUCAAUGUGGAGGCUAUACACAGGGUAUUACGGUACAGAGUCAAUGUGGAGGCUAUACACAGGGGGGUACCGGUACAGAGUCAAUGUGGAGGCUAUAUACAGGGGGGUACCGGUACAGAGUCAAUGUGGAGGCUAUAUACAGGGUGUUACGGUACAGAGUCAAUGUGGAGGCUAUAUACAGGGUAUUACGGGUCAGAGUCAAUGUGGAGGCUAUAUACAGGGUAUUACGGUACAGAGUCAAUGUGGAGGCUAUAUACAGGGGGUACCGGUACAGAGUCAAUGUGGAGGCUAUAUACAGGGUGUUACGGUACAGAGUCAAUGUGGAGGCUAUAUACAGGGUAUUACGGUACAGAGUCAAUGUGGAGGCUAUAUACAGGGGUUACCGGUACAGAGUCAAUGUGGAGGCUAUAUACAGGGGUACUGGUACAGAGUCAAUGUGGAGGCUAUAUACAGGGUGUUACGGUACAGAGUCAAUGUGGAGGCUAUAUACAGGGGUUACCGGUACAGAGUCAAUGUGCGGUUAGUAGAUAGGUAAUUAUGUAAUUGAGGUUUUCAACCUCACACUUUGGGCUGGAUGUUUCAGUAUGUAGUUAAUUCAUGCAUAAUCACUGUCUUACCUCAAAAAUCCACAAAAAGUUGGAAAGCGACAAUUUGUUGAAACUGUGCCGCGCCAUUUCCCCUCCAUUUCCCUGGCAAUUAGAGUUCUAUCUCAUGAGCUUCAGCCACUCGUAUUUGAGUGACAGCUUGCAAGAAGCCAGCCCAGGGUUAUCCAAUGAGGUUGCAGGGCGCGCCACAGCAGAGAGAGAGAUGACGUGGUGAACAUAUGUGAUGUAGUACAACAUUUUCAGGGACCACUUUUGACUUGUGAGUGUUACUAUCAGCACUACUGGCUAAAAAGUACACAAAAAGUAGCAGAGAAUCUCUUUAAUGAGUCUGUUGACUGUAGUUUAUACAUGAUCGGACUGUUCCAGCUGGAACAACUAGUUUGUUGUGUGUCUUUUGUAUUAAAAUGUUCCAUCAGUUUAUGUUCCACAUUAUCCUGUUAUUAUACAACAUUAUCUUCACCAGAUCUCAAACCAGCCUUCUACAUUGUCACAUUAUAGUGUCAUUAUACAACAUUAUCUUCACCAGAUCUCAAACCAGCCUUCUACAUUGACCAUAUUAUCCUGUUAUUAUACAACAUUAUCUUCACCAGAUCUCAAACCAGCCUUCUACAUUGUCACAUUAUAGUGUCAUUAUACAACAUUAUCUUCACCAGAUCUCAAACCAGCCUUCUACAUUGACCAUAUUAUCCUGUUAUUAUACAGCAUUAUCUUCACCAGAUCUCAAACCAGCCUUCUACAUUGACCACAUUAUCCUGUUAUUAUACAACAUUAUCUUCACCAGAUCUCAAACCGGCCUUCUACAUUGUCACAUUAUAGUGUCAUUAUACAACAUUAUCAUCACCAGAUCUCAAACCAGCCUUCUACAUUGUCA
ensembl:lncRNA